UACGAAGGGGGGCUAGCGUUGUUCGGAAUUACUGGGCGUAAAGCGCGUGUAGGCGGGUCUUUAAGUCAGGGGUGAAAUGCCAAGGCUCAACCUUGGAACUGCCUUUGAUACUGGAGACCUUGAGUCCGGGAGAGGUGAGUGGAAUUGCGAGUGUAGAGGUGAAAUGCGUAGAUAUCAGGAGGAACACCUGUGGCGAAAGCGGCGCACUGGACCACAACUGACGCUGAGGCGCGAAAGCUAGGGGAGCAAACGGG
rnacentral:rRNA from 1 species